AGAAGAUGAUGCAUGUGAGCCCUGCCCUUGGGAAGCUUCCAGGUUGGGAAAUGAGGAAUGAGCCUGACACCCAGGGCCCAGAGAGACCCAGGACAGAGGCAGGUCAGGAGGCAGACACGCGCUGCUGGGUAAUGACGACAGCACCAGUAAUCACGGCUACUCCUUGUUAAGUACUUACUAAGUGCAAGACUCCAAGCUAAGCAAUUAAUAGACCUUUUCUUGUUUAAUCCUUACCACAAUUCCAUAGGAUGUUCUCACAGAGCUACACAUGCCACAGUCAUCACUAGUUGCGAGAGUCUCCAGUGUUCAUUAAGCCUAUUUUGCUGGAAGUUUAGUCCCUGGAGGAUUAGUCCCUGCCCUUAAGGAGUGCCAAAGAAGACUUUGGAAUCUAAGUCACAUCUCCCCUGCUGCAAUUUUUUCCUCUUGAUAAUCAAGGAAUCUCACUGAUAAAACUCUCAAUGAGGAGCAGCUCUCCCCAUGAGCAAGUUCUUGCCUUCAUUGCCAGGGAGGCCCCAGCUAAGGUUAUACUGGGAAAGGAAUCUCUGGGGAGUACCUGGAAGAGGUCAGCUUCUCCUCAAAGGAAGCCUCUCCAGCUGGUGUACUGCAAAGCCUUCCAAGACCAAGUUCCCUCUUCCUGGCCUCUGGAACCAGCCUGUGUGCCAGCGCUGUGUCCCCAGUAACACACAUGAGUCUCUCCCUCAGAAGCCACAGAAGGAUGCAGAGAGAGACCAACCCAGGAUUGAUUCUCAGCACUUACUAAUUGUGUGGACAUAACUGCUCUGGACCUCAGCUUUGCUAUCUAUAAAAUGAGCACCCUUUUUAUAGAUA
rnacentral:lncRNA from 1 species